rnacentral:rRNA from 1 species
GAUGAACGCUGGCGGCGUGCCUAAUACAUGCAAGUCGAGCGAACAGAUGAGGAGCUUGCUCCUCUGACGUUAGCGGCGGACGGGUGAGUAACACGUGGAUAACCUACCUAUAAGACUGGGAUCACUUCGGGAAACCGGCGCUAAUACCGGAUAAUAUCUUGAACCGCAUGGUUCAAUAGUGAAAUACGGCUUUUCUGUCACUUCUAGAUGGAUCCCGGCCGUAUUAGGUAGUUGUUAAGGUAACGGCCUACCAAGGCGACGAUGCGUAGCCGACGUGAGAGGGGGGUCGGCGACCUUGGAACUGGGACACGGUCAAGAGUCCUGCGGGAGGGAGCAGUCGGGAAUGGUCCGCAGUGGGCGAAAGCCUGACGGAGCAACGCCGAGUGAGUGAUGAAGGCGUUCGGAUCGUAAAACCCUGUUAUUAGGGAAGAACAAAUGUGUAAGUAAACAUGCACGGAUUGACGGUACCUAAUCAGAAAGCAACGGCUAACUACGUG